rnacentral:lncRNA from 1 species
GAACCUUGGGCCCUGUUAAUAACUUACACAGAAUCUUCAGUGUAUGUAUGGCCAAAUGGUAUUUGUAUUCUUGAAUGCCACGCUGCUGGGUACAUUCUCAAUAUCUGACAGCACAGAGUCUAAAACAAACAAUCUAAAGGAGAAUUUCAUUGUGUAGGUAAUUUCAGAGCAUCCUUGAGGUCAAGAAAUAAAAUGUUGGCCAGAUAGCUCAGAGGUCAAGAUCUGGGUAUGUGUUUUUCACUGCCUCCAGCUACAACUACUCCUGGUGUUCAGAAAGGCUUAACAAGAAUCAGGACUAUUUCUGAGUGUUUAUCAGCAGCUGCCAGAAUUUGUGUCUCCAGGUGUCCAGAAAACUCUGGAAGAAGACUGGCCCCUGGAAGAAAUGAUCAGUAGCCCAAGGACUUCUGGUCACAGCGCUGUGCAGAGAUCUUCCAGUGUUCUUCAGAAGGCCAUCCUGUCUCCAUGAGUCAUAACCAGGGCUGUUGUUCCCAGUACAUCAGUGAGCAUCAGGAAAAUAUUAAAUGCUCCUUAACUGGUUAGUGAAUAGGCACUGAUCUGAGCUCUCUGAGUGCCCUUCCACCUCUCCAGACACCCUGGCUGCAGGAAUCCCUGGUGAGCACUAAAGCGGAACAGCCUUUGAACCAGCUAAGUCUUCCGCUGCCUGAGGUCGUCCUGCAUUUCCCCCCACCCCAUCCACCUCCCACCAUUGCUGCCAGAGCUAUCAGACCCAACCCUCCUGAAAGAGGGACUGUCAUCUUGCAGGGAAACAAGCCCAGUACCCACCUGACCACCCCAAGGCUGCAGUGUCCUGCUUGCCUUGCCUUUUGCAUGGCCUCUUUGGGCCCAUAGUGUUGAAGUAUUUUGACUAUCCUCCUAGUCACAGUCACACUCUCCUGCCCCUACAUCUCUGCC